ensembl:lncRNA
UGGGCUUAUACUGCUCAGCAUGGAAGGUCUGAGUCACCUUAUUAGGCUAGAAAAGGUGCCGAAGGAUCGUGAGGGAAAUCUAAUAUUGGUGGUGGAAGGAGCUGAUAAAUGUCAAGUGCAGCUCCAGACCAGUUGCAGUAGCGAAGGCUGUCUUGUUUUAUCAGGUCACAUGUAGAGACUGGCUGAAGGCCACCUUGAAGCCUGAGAGGUAAUUAACGGCAAGGCAUAGGAGUAGCAGAGGGGUACAAAGGCUAGCCUGUGCGGGCUGCUUCUGGCUUCCUGACUCAUAUCCUCUUGGCUUCAUCUUUGAUUACAGUGUAGCUUCAGAAAAGAGAAGAAAAGGAGGAGUAUGCAGCUCGGACUGCCAACAAACAGAGUCUCAUGGAGCCAAAGCUGACAUCAAGGUUGCCACAUAGAUGACAUGACACUGAAUUCGGGAUUCUCCCAAGUUCUGGGAAUAAGUAUGUGCCAUCACUCUUAGCUCUGUCCUUGCCUUUACAGAUGGCUUUCUCUUAUAUUCAAGUCCAGAAUGAGAAUAAUAUCAGGGAUAGUGUUUUCCUCUUGGUUCUGGUGGUUGACUCUAGGGCUUGUACAUUCUGGGAAAGUUUUUGCUCCCUGAGCUGCGUUGACAGCCAGAAGGAGAUGGCUAUCUGUCUGCCUCUCUUUGAUGUACUAAACUGUCACAGGCCUAUAGAAAUAAUGACCCCUGUCCUUGAAUUGAAACCUUUGAAACCAUUGGCUAAAAUAACUUUCUUCCUUAUUAAUUGUCUCACAUAUUUUGUCACAGAGAAGAGAUUAACAAAAAUUUUAAUGUUUAUUCAAAUUGUUUUAUUCUAGUAAUAAACCUUUUAUCUUUUUCAUUACUGAUAAUUCUAGAAACAAAUUAGCCACUUUCCGUUUGUAUACCAGACCUGGUCCACAGGUGGGAUUUCAUACUUGGUAGUGUAAACUGGUCAAAAUCCCAUGACUGUGGAAAUCAUAGGCCCUGAAAAGGAGUCUCUGUUGCUAUUUUGCUAACUGGUCAUGCAUUCAAACUACUCCCUGAAUAAUAUGUUGUUUUUAUCAGCAGAUUUGUGUUGUUCUCAGGCAUCUGCACGAAGUUCACUGGUUCACCAAAUAUCCUUUCACAGAGGCCUACUUAGAUUUUGGUUGACUUUGUAGUGCCUUUCUGUCCUCAGUUGCUCUGCCUUCUGGGAGGGCAGGGGGUAGCUCCUGACCCUUCUGAUCACCAGAAACUUCCGAAUUGAACUUUUUUUGAAGUCAGGCUCUCUCAGCCCACCUUAUUCAGGUUCACAACAUAGGCAGAUGGCAGGAUCAUCAUAUUUAUUGAUCUUCAUAUGCUUUCUUAUAUGUUACCCGUGAUCUGUAUUUUGUUUCUUUUUUGUUUGUUUGUUUGUUUUGCAUGCAUCAAAUCCCUAGAAUGUAGCUGAAUCUUUAUAGUGGUCCUUAAUAAUUUAAUUCUGUUGAGCAAAAAAAAAAGCCUUUAAACCAUGAACUCGAGAUUCAUAUCGCCAAUAAUACAGUGAUAAGUAGAGCGUUGUAAGUGUGUUCUGCAUUAUGAAGGAAUCUAAAAACUUGCAAUAAGUUCAAUAAAAUAGUGGUUAUCUUGUGGUUCCAAUGUAUGUAUAUAGAGGAGGAUGGGCCACAAAGAAAAUAGCAAAUGGGUAGUUUUAGUGUCAUAAAAAUAACGAAUAACUUUCUUUUCUUUUGCUUUUCUUAGGGAAAUUAUUUUUGAAGGAUAGUUGAAAUGAACACAAAGUAGAAGAAAAAAUUUAGAAGGAAACCACAAGUGAGUAACAGUGAUGAUGACAAGGGAAUGAACAAAGAGUUAGGAACUAAGAAGGCCUUGGCUUGCAGACUUUUACAAGAGCCUGGUACAAGAAGACUGGUGUGUGAAGAGCAGUGCUGGUCUUCCUUAGGGACCAGACAGGAGGCGAGAGGCUUAAGUUGCUGUGUGGGAUUUAGAUAACAGAAAAGGAAAAAUUUUCAGACAGUGAGGUUUGAUAGACACUGGGAUGUGUAACUGGGGAAGCUUGUGGAAUUUCCUUCUCUCAACAUCUUUUUAAAAACCGACAGCAUCUCAUCUGCUUAAAGGAUGGACUCUAUUUGACCUCUAAAGUGUCUACUGAACCCAGAGGGUGAACCUCAUCUCCCAAAGGAAAAGAGAGCUUGUGUGAUCCCGAGGAGCUUGAAUGAUGAAAAUAUCAUGAACAUUUUUCAUGCUUAAUUUGAUUUCCACAUGGUAUAUACAUAAAUCAUAACUGCUAUAGCGAGUCUUUUGGUCUAAUGUUUUUGUUGUAAGGUCUGGAGAUUAGAGUUUAAGUAAAAGUCUUCUAGGGAGAGAAGGCAGAACUCUUUUAUCUGACUUUUUGAGCUUAUUUGUAGGAGAGCAUAAUAAGCAAGGUGAAAAGGUUAUUUCUGACUUUGAUUUCACUUCCCAUGCUAAAUUUAAAAAUUACCAUCUUUUUUGUUGGCUUUGGUAUUUUAAAGGCAAAUUGAGAGAUUAAUUUAGUGCAAGCGUUUCUCACAGUAUUUUUGGCCAGACCAGAAUUCCAAGUUGGACCAGGUUCUCUGUACUUAAUUUCCUCUCAGGAAGUUUACCUCCAAAAGUCCUAAUGUAAGGUCAAACUUUGGGCUGCCGGAAGUGUUAAUGUCCUUUACUGUCUAGGCAUCCAGGCGACCUUCAAUGAGAUAUUCUACUUUGUGGACACUGGUAAGGGUUCAAAUGCUUUCAAAUGACUUAGCUGCUUCCUUUGUUUGUUUGUUUUCUUUAAUGAGCUGUGAUCUCUGUACUCAGCCAUCCAAAACUCAGAAAUUAAAAUUUCCAUAAGUAAGAGGUGUUCUAUUUUCUCUGGAUUCAGUUAUGAGUUUAGAUAUCUAAUUACAGGUGAUGUAGACUUGUCUUUCUUCCGAAGUACCAAAGUGCACUUCGUGACAAAAAGGACGUUAGUGUCAGAAAUUAUUGUCUACUUUAAGCAAACAGUUCUAGAGUACCCUAAACAGGAUCUCUCUCAGAUUCUAAGUAACCGGAGGACAUUUAAAGGUUAAAGCACAUUGUCACAUAACUGUUCACAACAGUCUAAGUGCUUAUGAUUCCAAUAAAAAUAUUGUAAAUGUUAUGGACUUGUAGAUGAGAAAUGGAAUUUUUUAAGAGGUUGUGAUUUACUUAAGGUCUCAAGACUAGAAACUGUAAAAUACCUGGGACACGUAGGCCCUUCUCACCUAUCUAUGUUCUAUUCCUUUUUGAUAUGACUUUGCUUAAAAUUUAAUUGCAGCUAGCUUCAAAUGGUAUAGUGUAAUUCAUUAGAAGAACUCUUGGAAUACUUUUGAUUUCAGAGCCUGGAUCUUUCCCUCUGUAUAAUGCUGUGAUCUUUGUAAGAUCUGUUAUGUUUUUCAUCAUUGAUGAGAUCUUUGCCUUAGAUGUCAAAGUCAAAUUAGAUACAAGGGACUGAAGUCACUAUCACUAAAUAGAAAGUUAUGCUGAAUGUUGCUCAGUCACACAAAGUAAAAACACCAGAAGGUUCCACCAGCGUAUUCUGAUAUUUCACAUGGUAAGUCAUACACAUCUCUCAUAGUGUACUCCCAGUGAGAUGAUGGGACAUUCUAAUCCUUUCUAGCUACUAAGGAUUAAACAGCAUUAAACAGUACAAAACACAUCUUAAUAUUGCAUUCAUUUCUGACAAAAUGUUGAAUGCAUCUUCUAUAAUUCCUGGCACAUGGUUGUGGGAGUCAUGGUUGUGGGGGUACGGUGGCUUUAUUUCCUUCCCUAACAGUUCGGAAGUUUGUUUAAUACUGACUCAGAGGAAGCGUUCUAGCUGAGUCCUCACAUGGCCCUGUUUACAGCUCCGGAGUGUACAUAAUAGAUAAAGAACUGACUUCCACAUACCCUUGCACUUCCUGGGUGUGUGGGCGAGUGUGCUUGAGCCUGUGAAAUGAGGUUGUGCAAUCUCCUGCUUGGGGCAUCAGGUUGCAGUCACCCCACAUCUCUUAAAUAUUCCUCUGAGGGAGCUUGUUUCACAAACUGAACACCAGUGUAUUUAAGAGAAGCUCUAGUAAUGAAUAAUUAACAUGGUCAAAACUGAGGUGGAGAUUGUAAAAAAAACAGUGGGAAACAGCUGUAAAUGACACAGAUAAACACUUUUCUUUCGGCAGGAUCUCACUGUUUUGAUUGUAACUGUAGCUGACAUUUAUACAUAGCCAGUCUGGGGUAAGAACUUUUGUUACACCAGCAUCACUGUCCUUAACUCUUGUAGCCUUUAUGGGUAAAUAUAGCCAUUGCACGUUUAGACUGGAGAUCAGAGAAUUAAAAAAAAAUGUGUUCUGAAUUACACUGAUAGUCUGAAAGUAGCUGAUGGAGUAACGAGAAGAACCAAGAACUGUUUGUCUUUUAAAGAUAAAUGAGACCCUUCCUACCUAUCUGUGUUUUAUUUCUCUUUUGAUAUGACUUUGCUCAAAACUUAAGUGCAGUUGGUUUCAAGAGGAACAGUGUAUUUCAAUUAGAAGGACUCCCUGGAUUUAUGAAGGUUCAGACUAAGGUAUUUGGAGGAUGGUGGGCUGAAAGUUUCAGGGAAGAAAUACUACACAUACACCAGUCUCUCAGGCCUGAAGAAAGGAAAUGUAUACCUGUUUGUCUAUGAAAUAUCUCUUGAACAUGGUACUGGAGUGAUAACAUCCAUCCCACACAAAUAUCCAGUAGUAAACAUUCAGAAACAGAUUCUCUUUUUAACCAAUGCUUUGCAUCAAAGUUAGGCAUGUUCAUUAAAUUAAAGAAUUGUUUAUAAAGCUUACUUUUAAAGGCAUAUCACCCUUCUCCUUUGUUUCCUGAAUUAUGAGGCUUGCUGAAUCAUCUGCAGAAGAGAGCUUUGUUUUUGAAAAUGAAGAAAUGUGGGGUAUAGAUUGUGGUAUAUAGAUUGCUGGCAUCGAAAGAAACCUGAAUAAAUAUUCAAGACUGACCACAAGGUCCCAGGCGUGGGUGUAUUUAUCCGUUUGCCUCAUGACUGGGAGGUUUUGGUCUGGAGAUGUAGGGAGGGUGAGGAAGUGGAGGAACAGUUUUGAAUUUUUGAAUGAAUUUCCAGUUGAUAUAGUCUAAGAUCUUUACACUGUAGCCAUAAUUUUCUACAGAGGAAAUUGAGGAAGAUCGUGUUAGUGGUCACUAACUCUUAAAAAUUCAAAAUAGGGGGCGUAGUGAGAUGGGCUAGUGGUCAAAGCAUUGCCAAACAAGCUGGCAACUUGAAUUUGAUUCUUAAAACUGACACUGUAAUUGUUCUCUGAACUCCACAUAUGUGACGUGGUAUGUAUGCCACCCCCAAUAUGUGUGCACAUACACAAAUUCUGCCUCCAGCCUUCUGCCUUGCUUGAGUUUCUGCCCUGGCUUUCCUCAGUGAUGAGCUGUGAUGGGGACCUUAGGCCAAAUAAACCUUUCCUUUCCUAAGUCGCUUUUGGUCAUGGUCUUUUUCACAGCAACAGAAAGCUAAUUAGGACAAAGCCUUUAGCACAGUUUUUUUUUUUUUCCUGAGACUGCAUAGGACUAGGGGAAGGACUUAUAAAUUCUGUAACUAGACUCUUUUAAAAUCCAAGAGCUGCCACAGUCAGGUUUUGUGAUGGACACAAGCUAACUUCUCUGUGCCUCAGUUUCUCUAUAUGAAAAAUGAGAAUGAUGCUAUGUAUGGGGAGUGAAAUCAAACAUCAUAGCAAACAUCCUAGGCCAACCACAUGCUUUUUAUGUUAGUUUAUACAAACAGUAGGAAGCAGCAAUGAUUCCAUGGGGAUUGUGAAAACCCUCAGCCCCUCGUGUUGAAGCAUGUUGUGUAAGGGUG